rnacentral:rRNA from 1 species
UACAGAGGUCUCAAGCAUUGUUCGGAUUCAUUGGGCGUAAAGGGUGCGUAGGUGGCGGGGUUAGUCAGGUGUGAAAUCUCGGAGCUCAACUCCGAAACUGCACUUGAUACUGCCUUGCUAGAGUACUGGAGAGGAGAUUGGAAUUUACGGUGUAGCAGUGAAAUGCGUAGAUAUCGUAAGGAAGACCAGUGGCGAAGGCGAAUCUCUGGACAGUUACUGACACUGAGGCACGAAGGCCAGGGGAGCAAACGGG